ACUCCUACGGGAGGCAGCAGUGGGGAAUAUUGCACAAUGGGGGAAACCCUGAUGCAGCCAUGCCGCGUGUGUGAAGAAGGCCUUGGGUUGUAAAGCACUUUCAGUAGGGAGGAAGGUAGUGUAGUUAACACCUGCACUAUUUGACGUUACCUACAGAAGAAGCACCGGCUAACUCCGUGCCAGCAGCCGCGGUAAUACGGAGGGUGCGAGCGUUAAUCGGAAUUACGUGGGCGUAAAGCGCAUGCAGGCGGCCUGUUAAGUCAGAUGUGAAAGCCCGGGGUCUUAACCUCGGAAUUGCAUUUGAAACUGGCAGGCUAGAGUCUUGUAGAGGGGUUAGAAUUUCAGGUGUAGCGGUGAAAUGCGUAGAGAUCUGAAGGAAUACCAGUGGCGAACGGCGGCCCCCUGGACAAAGACUGACGCUCAGAUGCGAAAGCGUGGGAGCAAACAGGAUUAGAUACCCCGUGGUAGCGACUGA
rnacentral:rRNA from 1 species